CCUUGAGCUCUCCCUAGCAGGCAGUGUGGCUGCAUGGUGGUGGUCUUCUCUUGAGCUGGGACACCUCUCAAGGUUGCUUCUCAAGGCAGAGAGACCUUUUACGAACAGCAGAUCUUUGGUUACGAUGUGGAUGAAGAUUUUUAUAAUGCAUGGCAAGAUUGGUUCCAGCCUGCCCUGUGUAACUGUGAAGAUGAUCUCUUACACCAGCAUGAAACCUAUGAAGUCCAACAAAGUAUUUUGGAUUUACUGUGCCACUAGAGCAUUGCAAAACCUGUCACCAGUUUUUUUUCUUGUAAUCAUUGUUUUUGUCUAAUUUUCAAGAAAAUAAAAUUAUGGACAUGAAAAA